AGAGUUUGAUCAUGGCUCAGGACGAACGCUGGCGGCGUGCCUAAUACAUGCAAGUUGAGCGCUGAAGGUUGGUACUUGUACCGACUGGAUGAGCAGCGAACGGGUGAGUAACGCGUGGGAAUCUGCCUUUGAGCGGGGGACAACAUUUGGAAACGAAUGCUAAUACCGCAUAAAACUUUAACACAAGUUUUAAGUUUGAAAGAUGCAAUUGCAUCACUCAAAGAUGAUCCCGCGUUGUAUUAGCG
rnacentral:rRNA from 1 species